AACAAAUGUCUGUAGAGAUUCAUCUGACUCCUAAUGAUAACAGGGAUGAUACAAAGAGAACUUCAGCUCAGCUAAAAAUGUUGAUCUUCACAGGCAAACUGCUCGAUAGAUGGUUUGUCCAGGAGAGUCUCAGAUCAACAGCUUCAGGCUUUACCUCCAGCUCCAGACUUUUGGAAACCUCCUCCUUCAACAGCAUAGAACUUUGACCCAACCAGCUUUUGGAGAAUUCUAGGCUGUCACUCAAACUCUUCCUACAAAGGUGAAAUACCUCAGAAAAUAUGAUAAAUAACGGAAUU
rnacentral:lncRNA from 1 species